UACGUAGGGUGCGAGCGUUGUCCGGAAUUAUUGGGCGUAAAGAGCUCGUAGGCGGUGUGUCACGUCGAUCGGGAAAACUUUCAGCUUAACUGGGAGCUUGCGGUCGAUACGGGCAUCACUGGAGUUCGGCAGGGGAGACUGGAAUUCAAGGUGUAGCGGUGAAAUGCGCAGAUAUCUUGAGGAACACCGGUGGCGAAGGCGGGUCUCUGGGCCGAUACUGACGCUGAGGAGCGAAAGCGUGGGGAGCAAACGGG
rnacentral:rRNA from 1 species